UUUUCUGUAUAACUAUGCCCCAUGCAAUAUUUGGGACAUACUUAUGCUAAAA
rnacentral:pre_miRNA from 1 species